UCGGUGCCUCUGUGGCGCCACGUCGGCGCCACCUCCGCUAGCCGUCCGUCGUGGCCGCCACGUGUCUGCCACGUGGUGCGCCCGCGGACCAGCGCAUGCGUGGACUCGGUCCACGGUGCGCCCGCCACCCGUGAGUCACCGUCAGGUACCGCCACACACCGCCUUCAGCCGGCCGCUGCCGCUGCGUUAGUCGUCGCCGCACCUCGCCGCUUGCGCCGUCGGCAACGCCGUGCCAAGCUCUACCCCGGCCUCCGCUCCGUUUCCCCAUUCCACCACCGCAACCACCCUUCCACCGUGCAUCCCGAGCCACCUCCACCAUACGCCGCCUCCAGCCGUGUGCCACCGUCGCCUUAGCCGCCGCCGCGUCGCUCCGUCUUCACCUCUCGCCUCGCAGCGCCGUGCAGCACCUCGGUCACCGUUGUUCAUCGCCGGAAACCCACCGGAACGUGGUACCUCUCGGUCGCCGGUCUUGCCGGCCCUCGGCCGCGGCUCCGCCAUGGUCGGGCGUCGUCGGACCGCCGUUCCCGUCGCCUCCCGUGUCGGCCGCCGCCAUCCUUUCCGCCGCCGGUCGCCUCCCCAUGGUCGUCCCGUCGCCGGCGCUCCUCGCGUGUAGUUUCCGUCGUUUCGGAAGUCCGCGGUCGCGAG